rnacentral:tmRNA from 1 species
GGGGAUGACAGGUAUAGACAAAUAAAUUCUUUGACAAUGUGCACGACAGAGCUCUCACAACUCUUUAAACUAUGAGAAAGCAUAGAUGCUAAAAACACCUUUGCAAAAGCAGUUCGUUCUCCCUUUUUGGGAGUCAAUGGAUUCGCUCUGGCUUACGCUUAAUCUUUCGAGACUAAUCUAAGUCAGCGGUCACUUCCUCAAGUCUGUUCCGGAAAGUGAUUGAUAUAUCUUCGGACUCGGUUGAUUUGUAGUUUCGCAAAUCUUCGACACAAAGAAAACUGGAAUCUUAUUUAUUUUUUCGAUUUAAAGAAUAAGAUUCGAGACAUUUAAAUCGAAUACGUCGUGUAGACCCAUUAUCAAAUCUUAUUUGCACGGGAGUUCAACUCUCCCCGUCUCCAC